ACACACACACACACACACACUUUUUGCCACCGGAAUAGUUGAGAAAAGAAAAAACUGAAGGAUCAUUGUAUAAUUGAUAAAAGAAGGUGGCUGAUUUUUAUUUACAUUUCUUUUGGGAAAAAAUAAUGUAGGGGGGAUUUUUUGGUCACUCAUUCAGUCAUAGUUAGCAAGAGAAACUAACUCAUAUGACCGUGUCAGUGCUAGCUGGUUGUUGGUACAUGCCCUAACAUACUAAGCCUAGGGCAAACACAAUUGAUAUAAAUGGCCAAAAUUUCAUUUUUAGUCAUUAAACCUAAAAUUAAAUAACAUAUUAUUACAACAAGGCAAACAACUCUUAUCUGCCACCCCAAAGAAAGGAAAAGAGCUGCAAAUAAGUAGUUUACUUGCACAUAGACAUAACUAGGAGGAACCAAACCCGCUAACAAAUGCACCCAAGCCCUGAUAGCCCAUUAAUCUUACAGCAUACAUGAGGGGAGGACCACCUUUCUUUUCUUUUACCACUGCUCCACAAAAGCAAAGGAUGUGUUUAACUGGAGAUUUCAGAGUUUGGUCCUAAACACAUUGUACAAUGACGUGUGGGUACUUUCUUACCAAGUCCUUCAAGACGAUAACCAUCUUAUAGAUUUCAAAUCAGCCUUACCACAUACAGUAACCAUGAACCUUGAUGCACGAGACAAACAAUUUCUUCCUUGCCCAGAAGAGGAGGUGGGAAAAUAAGUUCUGAAAGGAAAAAUACGUGCAUGUCCUACAUAUACAACUACUAACCUUUACACCAUUGGUGAUAGC
rnacentral:misc_RNA from 1 species